rnacentral:lncRNA from 1 species
AAAGAGAAGAGUGUGCUGAGUUUGAAUGAGCACUGAUAGAACGCAUUUACGUAAAAAAGGAUAACAGGAGUGCCUAUUACAUCCUACUUCGAUUAAUUAAUGCAUUUAUUCAAGAAAUCCUGGUGGUGUCAUGAGUUAAUGAUAUGGAAAGAUAGUGAUUUUUGAGCAUAUGAUCUUCAAAGUCAAAUACCAGACCCUGGAUCAUGGUAACCCUUGGAGACCCAAUCUCCAUGGAGACCUCAUGGAGAUAGAAACCACACCAGUAAUUUGAAGAGGGAAAAUUUAAUAUGAAGAAUGUUAACUUGUGAAAGGUAGUUAACAACUAAAAGAAGUGGAAAAGGACUCUGUGAGGUAAAGAAGUAGCAACUACAGAAAGCAGCACCCGCUCCUCGGCUGAGAGAGAGUGGACAAGGAAGGAACUUAGAAAUUUAGAGGAAGCUCCUCCCUCACCCCAGGCUGGGGUUCAGAACCUCUGAGGAGCGGGUACACGCAGCCCACUGGUGCUGGAGAAACUUGCUGGAGGGUAUAGAUGGAUGCUGACCACUACUGGCCCUGCAC